CCACAUAUGUAAGAUUUCGUAAUUUCUUACAGACACCACUGAAAUAAAUUAAUAAACUUUAUCUCUAAAUAUUUUCAUCCUCUUCUCCCUCCAUGCGACCACCGGAUCCGCCGAGUCUUUGAAUCUUUCCAAGGAUUUCUUUGUUUAUUUACACCUCUUGUACUAAUCCGUUUUGCUAACCAAAAUUCUUACGACCUUGAAUCUGAGAAAUCCAUAGCGUCCCCACUUGGCUGAACUAUCUGAAUGGUCAGGCCAGUGUGUCGGGCAAAGUGUUGAUAGCAUCCAAGGAAGAGAAGAACGUAAUAGAGUGCAUUGAUGUUGUGUUUCUGAUCCAAGAACAUAAAGAUGCCCCUUAUUGACAAUUAAGAUUAAUAAAGAUUUGAUUUUAUGGAACUUUCUGUUAUAAGUUAUUGUUGUUUUGGUAGUAUGAUAUUAAUUGCCCUUUUUGUCUUUGCUAUAUUUGGUAGAUAUUUCAAGCUAAGUCGCAAGCUUUUAUGUAAAAGGCAGUUACACUCGUGCAAGGACAGACGUCUGGUAUGUAAUUCUUACAUGUUUUUUUGUAUGUUACAAUGGUUAUUUGGGCAUUUUUCAUUAUUUGUUGUAUAUUUGUA